UACGGAGGAUGCGAGCGUUAUCCGGAUUUAUUGGGUUUAAAGGGUGCGCAGGCGGCACGGCAAGCCGGCGGUCAAAUCGCGGGGCUCAACCCCGCCCAGCCGUCGGAACUGCCGGGCUAGAGUGGGCGAGAAGUGCGCGGAAUGCGUGGUGUAGCGGUGAAAUGCAUAGAUAUCACGCAGAACUCUGAUUGCGAAGGCAGCGCACCGGCGCCCUACUGACGCUCAGGCACGAAAGCGUGGGUAUCGAACAGG
rnacentral:rRNA from 1 species